rnacentral:rRNA from 3 species
AAAUUGAAGAGUUUGAUCAUGGCUCAGAUUGAACGCUGGCGGCAGGCCUAACACAUGCAAGUCGAACGGUAACAGGAAGCAGCUUGCUGCUUCGCUGACGAGUGGCGGACGGGUGAGUAAUGUCUGGGAAACUGCCUGAUGGAGGGGGAUAACUACUGGAAACGGUGGCUAAUACCGCAUAACGUCGCAAGACCAAAGAGGGGGACCUUCGGGCCUCUUGCCAUCAGAUGUGCCCAGAUGGGAUUAGCUAGUUGGUGAGGUAACGGCUCACCAAGGCGACGAUCCCUAGCUGGUCUGAGAGGAUGACCAGCCACACUGGAACUGAGACACGGUCCAGACUCCUACGGGAGGCAGCAGUGGGGA